AUAUUGGAACGUACCGAGUAAUGGGGGAUAACUAUCCGAAAGGAUGGCUAAUACCGCAUACGCUUUGAGAAGGAAAGCAGGGGAUCUUCGGACCUUGCGUUAUUCGAGCGGCCAAUAACUGAUUAGCUAGUUGGUGGGGUAAGGGCCCACCAAGGCUACGAUCAGUAGUGGGUCUGAGAGGAUGAUCCGCCACACUGGGACUGAGACACGGCCCAGACUCCUACGGGAGGCAGCAGUGGGGAAUUUUGGACAAUGGGCGAAAGCCUGAUCCAGCCAUGCCGCGUGUCUGAAGAAGGCCUUCGGGUUGUAAAGGACUUUUGUUAGGGAAGAAAAGGUUGAUGCUAAUAUCAUUAACUGAUGACGGUACCUAAAGAAUAAGCACCGGCUAACUACGUGCCAGCAGCCGCGGUAAUACGUCUGUCUC
rnacentral:rRNA from 1 species